UGGGGAAUAUUGCACAAUGGAGGGAACUCUGAUGCAGCGACGCCGCGUGAACGAAGAAGGCUUUCGCGUCGUAAAGUUCUUUUAUAUGGGAAGAUAAUGACGGUACCAUAAGAAAAAGCCCCGGCUAACUACGUGCCAGCAGCCGCGGUAAUACGUAGGGGGCUAGCGUUGUCCGGAAUCACUGGGCGUAAAGGGUUCGCAGGCGGAAAUGCAAGUAAGGUGUAAAAGGCAGUAGCUUAACUACUGUAAGCAUUUGAAACUGCAUAUCUUGAGAAGAGUAGAGGUAAGUGGAAUUUUUAGUGUAGCGGUGAAAUGCGUAGAUAUUAAAAAGAAUACCGGUGGCGAAGGCGACUUACUGGGCUCAUUCUGACGCUGAGGAACGAAAGCGUGGGUAGCAAACAGG
rnacentral:rRNA from 1 species